GUCCACGCCCUAAACGAUGGCAACUAGUUGUUGGGGAUUAACAUCCUUAGUAACGCAGCUAACGCGUGAAGUUGCCCGCCUGGGGAGUACGGUCGCAAGAUUAAAACUCAAAGGAAUUGACGGGGCCCGCACAAGCGGUGGAUGAUGUGGUUUAAUUCGAUGCAACGCGAAAACCUUACCUACCCUUGACAUGCCAGGAAGACCGCAGAGAUGUGGUUGUGCCCGAAAGGGAACCUGGACACAGGUGCUGCAUGGCUGUCGU
rnacentral:rRNA from 1 species